rnacentral:rRNA from 1 species
UACGUAGGCAGCAAGCGUUGUUCGGAGUUACUGGGCGUAAAGGGUGUGUAGGCGGUCCCCUAAGUUUGGUGUGAAAUCUCCCCGGCUCAACUGGAGGGUGCGCCGAAAACUGGGGGGCUAGAGUACUGGAUGGGAGAGUUGGAAUUCCUGGUGUAGCGGUGAAAUGCGUAGAUAUCAGGAGGAACACCUGUGGUGUAGACGGCUCUCUGGACAGUAACUGACGCUGAGACACGAAAGCGUGGGUAGCAAACAGG